rnacentral:sRNA from 1 species
UAUUCUACCCUACGGGGAAGGAUGAGAAGCUUCGACUAAGGUUCGACUCGAGCGCCAGCGAGAGAACGUUGCCACGGGCAACGGCCCGAAGGGCGAGGAGCGAUAGCGACGAGUUAUCCUUCCCCCACCACCA